rnacentral:lncRNA from 1 species
GUUACUUUUUAUUUUUUUGGCCCUCAUUUGGUUCCUCUCCCUCCUCCUCCUCUCCCCCGCAGGCCCCUAACCCACUCUGUGACCAUGGUGGAACAACAAUUUCCUUUGAAGGCACCGGAAGUGAGACAAUCUGGUAAACCAGACAGUUCAAAAUGUUCACUUGGCAAUUGCUGCAGGAGCUCAGGAGAUAGACUAGGGCUGGAUAUACAGUCCAUCUGCGAGUCAUUUGCAAAGAUGGUCAUUGAAUUUAUGGGAAUAGUCGAGGUCACCAUGUGGAAGUGUCUAAGGGAAAAGGGUCUGGGAUGGACCGGAGAAAGACAUGGGUGGUGGGAUACGGCACGGGAUUCAGCCCCCAAAACUCAUGACUUGAAGAGUCUUUAGGAUUCCAAGCCCCGAGGCCUCCCCCAUACCUUAAGUUCUUAACAUGUUCUCUUUAUCAAGUUUUUCCUGCGUUUCGCGUGCGCUCCGUUUUUCCAUAUUUUGCUUGUUGACAUUUAGGAAAUCCAGAAAGCACGCUCUCAAACUUCUCAGCCAAGUUAGUGUGACCCAGGGACUGGGAUUGCUCAGGGAGCUCUCCUUAGAGCUUUCUUUUGGACAGCUCCUACCCCGCUGCCUGCUCCCCGCCAGCCUCUGGUCUGGGCGCGGAGCUCUGUUUUCAGCUUUGCGCCUCGGAGCUCUCUCUUGUUUUCAGCUCUCUCUGCUUUGCACGGCUGAGAGCUCUCUCUGCUUUAUAGAUCUUUCUGCUUUGAGCCGCGGAGAGCUCUCUGUUUUCAGCCCUCCCUGCUUUGCGCCGCGGAGAGCUCUCUCUGCUUAUAGAUCUCUCUGGUUUGCGCCGUGGAGAGCUCUCUGUUUUCAGCUCUCUCUGGUUUGCGCCGCGGAGAGCUCUCUGCUUAUAGAUCUCUCUGGUUUGCGCCGCGGAGAGCUCUCUCUGCUUAUAGAUCUCUCUGGUUUGCGCCGUGGAGAGCUCUCUGUUUUCAGCUCUCUCUGGUUUGCGCCGCGGAGAGCUCUCUGCUUAUAGAUCUCUCUGGUUUGCGCCGCGGAGAGCUCUCUCUGCUUAUAGAUCUCUCUGGUUUGCGCCGUGGAGAGCUCUCUGUUUUCAGCUCUCUCUGGUUUGCGCCGGAGAGCUCUCUGUUAUAGAUCUCUCUGGUUUGCGCCGUGGAGAGCUCUCUCUGCUUAUAGAUCUCUCUGGUUUGCGCCGUGGAGAGCUCUCUGUUUUCAGCUCUCUCUGGUUCGCGUCACGGAGAGCCCUCCCUGCUUAUAGAUCUCUCUGGGUUUGCGCCGCGGAGAGCUCUCUGCUUAUAGAUCUCUCUGGUUUGCGCCGCGGAGAGCUCUCUCUGCUUAUAGAUCUCUCUGGUUUGCGCCGUGGAGAGCUCUCUGUUUUCAGCUCUCUCUGGUUCGCGUCACGGAGAGCCCUCCCUGCUUAUAGAUCUCUCUGGUUUGCGCCGUGGAGAGCUCUCUGUUUUCAGCUCUCUCUGGUUUGCGUCACGGAGAGCCCUCCCUGCUUAUAGAUCUCUCUGGUUUGCGCCGCGGAGAGCUCUCUCUGCUUGUAGAUCUCCCUGCUUUGCGCCCCUGGCGCCUGGGUUUCACAGGCUGGACCGCUCAGGGCCCGGUGUUCUUGAGUCCCUUCGGCCCCAUCAGGAAGCGGCGGUUAGCGCGCGUUCUCACUGGCAGUUGGAGUCGUACUCUAUUGCUCCCUGGUUCGUUGAAGGAACUUGACUUCUUUUUUCCCCCUCCCCCUUCUUCUCUCUAUGGAGCCUGCGUGGUCCCUGUCAUCUGACUUCUGGCUUUUCAGAGAGCUUUCCUCAAACCCCAAGCCCAGCUCCCCAAUUCCUUUGUCCUUCCCCACUGAGGCCCCAGGGCAGGCCCGAGGGGCCGGGGACCGCUUCCGUAAGAUGGCCAGGAUCGUAGCGCACAUCUGCGGUCUGACCCUGACGCUGAAAAGGUACUGCGCUCCUGUUCCCAUCACAGACUCUGGUUCUGUGCCUCCUAGGGUAGAUAUGACUCUUCAGAUUUGAGACAGUGGAUUUUCCUUUGGGACACAAGAACAUCUGCAUCAUCCCAGGAAAUGUUAACCAUGAGAACUAUCUCAAGAUCUAAAAAUGAUUGUAUUGUGAGCCAACCCCUUUCACGUAUACUAGUGAACAGUAUACAUUUUUGCAAAUGUCAUUUUCCCCACUCUGAAAUUAAUUAAACUUGUAUUUGUGUCCUGACUCUCCUAUCUCUGGCCUGCUUUGUGUGGCUCUGGCCACCCACAGGUUAGAGUCUGGUUCUGGUUCAGUUGAUAGUUUCACUUGAC